UACGGAGGGGGCUAGCGUUGUUCGGAAUUACUGGGCGUAAGGCGCACGUAGGCGGCUUUGUAAGUUAGAGGUGAAAGCCCGGAGCUCAACUCCGGAAUUGCCUUUAAGACUGCAUCGCUAGAAUUGUGGAGAGGUGAGUGGAAUUCCGAGUGUAGAGGUGAAAUUCGUAGAUAUUCGGAAGAACACCAGUGGCGAAGGCGACUCACUGGACACAUAUUGACGCUGAGGUGCGAAAGCGUGGGGAGCAAACAGG
rnacentral:rRNA from 1 species